rnacentral:rRNA from 1 species
ACGUAGGCAGCAAGCGUUGUUCGGAAUUACUGGGCGUAAAGAGUUCGUAGGCGGUGUGCCAAGUUUAGUGUGAAAUCUCCCGGCUCAACUGGGAGGGUGCGCUGAAUACUGGCAUGCUAGAGUAUAGGAGAGGUAAGCGGAAUUCCUGGUGUAGCGGUGAAAUGCGUAGAUAUCAGGAGGAACACCUGUGGUGUAGACGGCUUACUGGACUAUAACUGACGCUGAGGAACGAAAGCGUGGGUAGCAAACAGGAUUAGAUACCCUGGUAGUCCACGCCCUAAACGAUGCAUACUUGGUGUGAGCCAUUCACUUGGUUCGUGCCGUAGCUAACGCGUUAAGUAUGCCGCCUGGGGAGUACGGUCGCAAGGCUG